rnacentral:rRNA from 1 species
CGACGGGUUGAGUAACACGUAAGUGAUCUGCCCCGGAGAGGGGGAUAAGCCGAGAAAUCCGGUUUAAUCCCCCGUCGCUCUUUAAGUUGCGACGUAGAGAGGAAAGGUUCCGGCGCUCUGGGAGAAGCUUCGGCCUAUCAUGGUUGUUGGUGGGGUAAUGCCUACCAAGCCGAAGACGAGUACCCGGUGUAGAGCCGAUCGGUCAGAGGGGGACUGAGCCCGGCCCCCACUCUUACGGGAGCAGCAGCAGGGAAUCUUGCGCAAUGGGCGAAAGCCUGACGCAUCGACACCGCGUGGGGGAUGAAGGCUUUCGAGUUGUAAACCCCUUUUCCCGGGGAUGAGAAAGGACAGUACCCGGGGAAUAAGGUUCGGCUAACUACGUGCCAGCAGCCGCGGUAACACGUAGGAACCGAGCGUUGUCCGGAUUUACUGGGCGUAAAGUGCGCGUAGGCGGUCCGUUAAGUCUCAUGUGAAAUCUCCCGGCUCAACUGGGAGGGGUCAUGGGAUACUGGCAGACUUGAGUACAGCAGAGGGGAGCGGAAUUCCCGGAGUAGUGGUGGAAUGCGUAGAUACCGGGAGGAACACCAGAGGCGAAGGCGGCUCCCUGGGCUGUAACUGACGCUGAGGCGCGAAAGCGUGGGUAGCAAACCGGAUUAGAUACCCUGGUAGUC